rnacentral:miRNA from 2 species
UUGCUGACACCUCUGGCAUUAA